rnacentral:sRNA from 1 species
AGCUAUCCCGGCGGGCCGCGCGCGCGGCCGCGUUUGAAUGGCCCUGAGUGGGACUCGGCCCAGAAGCCGAGGGACUCUCUAGGCUGCCGGGCGCUGGUCGUCAGCGCCGAGGCUGGGCUGAGGCGCCGCGGUACCAUGAGGCGCCGGUACUUAAGAGAUUAUGGCAUCAGAAACCCACAAUGUUAAAAAACGGAACUUUUGUAAUAAGAUUGAGGAUCAUUUCAUUGAUCUUCCUAGAAAAAAGAUCUCUAAUUUCACUAAUAAGAACAUGAAGGAGGUUAAGAAAUCUCCAAAACAGUUGGCUGCUUACAUAAAUAGGUUUCUCAGGACCAUGAAACAAUGGCCCAAGUUUUGUUCAGCAGGAAUAUGAGAUUGAAUGUAGCUUUAACUUUCUGGAGAAAGAGAAGUAUAAGUGAACUUGUAGCUUAUUUGUUGAGGAUAGAAGAUCUUGGCGUUGUGGUAGAUUGCCUUCCUGUGCUCACCAAUUGUUUACAGGAAGAAAAACAAUAUAUCUCACUUGGCUGCUGUGUUGACUUGUUGCCUCUAGUAAAGUCACUACUUAAAAGCAAAUUUGAAGAGUAAGUGCUAAUCUGAAUCUUGAUUCAUUUUUCUUUUUCAGCAUCCUUGAUUUUGUGCUUUGUGAGUACAUAGUAGAUUGGGCUCCAUGAGACAUGCAAGGUUUCUGUUUUCAAGAAGCUAAUAGUACAAUUAGGAAAAGAAUAUGAAAUGACUAAAGGACAAUUAUAAAAGCAUCUCUGAACAAAUUACAUGAAAUAUACUUUUGUGUAAUAGAUCAUGAAGGUAACAAAUUUUUAAAAGGGAAGAGACCAAUGUGUGUGUGUGUUUUUUGGGAGGGAAAGUAUCAUCUCUUAUAAGAAGGGUUCUUAGAUGAAAACACUUGAAUUUUGUAACAAAAUGUCAUUUCAGAUAUGUUAUAGUUGGUUUAAACUGGCUUCAAGCAGUCAUUAAAAGGUGGUGGUCAGAACUAUCAUCCAAAACAGAAAUUAUAAAUGAUGGGUGAGUAUACCUUUAACGAUAAACUCAUGCUGAAAUUUUCUUCAGGAAAGCAGCUUGAUUAAACUAGGUAAUAAUUUUAUCCCAUUAUCAUCAGUGUAUGGUAUUUAUUCUUUUUAUAUUCAGAGAGAUACUAACUUAAGAUACUGUUCAUUUGUGAAAACCACACCUGGAAAUUGAAUUCCAGAGCCUACUAACCUCCUGUAUCUCUUCUUCUGGCACAACCCUACCCUUCAUUUUAGAAGAAAAACACAAUAGUGGUUUAAUUCUCAUAUUCAUUAUAUGAGUAAGGGAGGAAAAAGAGAUGCCCACAGUGUAAUAAGGAAUGGAGGCACCCUGCAGGGUCCUUUAGCCUAGACAUUAACCUGAGAGUCCGGUGUUGAUGUUUACAGUUCUAAAAACUGUAUUAUUACUGCCUUGAUGUGAAAAUUCGUGGGUAUUCUACCAGAGUAUAGCCAGAUUAUCAUGAAACCACAGAAAAAUAUCUCCCAACAGUUUCCUUAAAGUCCAUAAUUUUGGGCCAUGCACGGUGGCUGAUGCCUGUCUGUAAUCCCAGCACUUUGGGAGGCCAAGAAGGGCAAAUCACUUGAGCUCACAAGUUUGAGACAGCCUGGGCAACAUGAUGACAUCCCGUCUCUACAAAAAAUACAAAAAUUAGCCAGGCAUGGUAGUGUGCGCCUGUAGUCCCAGCUACUCA